rnacentral:rRNA from 1 species
GGAAUUUUGCGCAAUGGGCGAAACCCUGACGCAGCAACGCCGCGUGAGUGAGGAAGGCCCUCGGGUCGUAAAGCUCUGUUAAAUGGGAAGAACGGUCAUGAUUCAAAUAGGGUCAUGAAUUGACGGUACCAUUAAAGGACGCACCGGCUAACUUCGUGCCAGCAGCCGCGGUAAUACGAAGGGUGCAAGCGUUGUUCGGAUUUAUUGGGCGUAAAGCGCGCGCAGGCGGACAGUUAAGCCAGAUGUGAAAUCCCGGGGCUCAACCUCGGAACUGCGUCUGGAACUGGUUGUCCAGAGUCUCGGAGGGGGAAGGGGAAUUUCGCAUGUAGGGGUAAAAUCCGUAGAGAUGCGAAGGAACACCAGUGGCGAAGGCGCCUUCCUGGACGAGAACUGACGCUGAGGUGCGAAAGCGUGGGGAGCA